UACGUAGGGUGCGAGCGUUGUCCGGAAUUACUGGGCGUAAAGAGCUCGUAGGUGGUUUGUCGCGUCGUCUGUGAAAUUCCGGGGCUUAACUUCGGGCGUGCAGGCGAUACGGGCAAUACUUGAGUGCUGUAGGGGAGACUGGAAUUCCUGGUGUAGCGGUGAAAUGCGCAGAUAUCAGGAGGAACACCGAUGGCGAAGGCAGGUCUCUGGGCCACUACUGACGCUGAGAAGCGAAAGCAUGGGGAGCGAACAGGAUUAGAUACCCCGGUA
rnacentral:rRNA from 1 species